ACUCCUACGGGAGGCAGCAGUGGGGAAUAUUGCACAAUGGGGGAAACCCUGAUGCAGCCAUGCCGCGUGUGUGAAGAAGGCCUUCGGGUUGUAAAGCACUUUCAGUAGGGAGGAAGGUAGUGUAGUUAACACCUGCAUUAUUUGUACGUUACCUACAGAAGAAGCACCGGCUAACUCCGUGCCAGCAGCCGCGGUAAUACGGAGGGUGCGAGCGUUAAUCGGAAUUACUGGGCGUAAAGCGCAUGCAGGCGGCCUGUUAAGUCAGAUGUGAAAGCCCGGGGUCUUAACCGUCGGAAUUGCAUUUGAAACUGGCAGGCUAGAGUCUUGUAGAGGGGUUAGAA
rnacentral:rRNA from 1 species